rnacentral:rRNA from 1 species
CGAGUUUGAUCAUGGCUCAGAACGAACGCUGGCGGCAGGCCUAACACAUGCAAGUCGAGCGAACCCUUCGGGGUUAGCGGCGGACGGGUUAGUAACGCGUGGGAAUAUACCCUUUGGUACGGAAUAGCCUCGGGAAACUGAGAGUAAUACCGUAUGUGCCCUUCGGGGGAAAGAUUUAUCGCCAAAGGAUUAGCCCGCGUUGGAUUAGAUAGUUGGUGGGGUAAUGGCCUACCAAGUCUACGAUCCAUAGCUGGUUUGAGAGGAUGAUCAGCAACACUGGGACUGAGACACGGCCCAGACUCCUACGGGAGGCAGCAGUGGGGAAUCUUAGACAAUGGGCGCAAGCCUGAUCUAGCCAUGCCGCGUGGACGAUGAAGGCCUUAGGGUUGUAAAGUCCUUUCAGAUGGGAAGAUAAUGACGGUACCAUCAGAAGAAGCCCCGGCUAACUCCGUG